rnacentral:rRNA from 1 species
CGAAGCUGUGUGAGCUAAGGAGUGCAUAUAAUAGUAGAAAAGUGUUGCAAAAUGUGGGAGAGUAGUCCUUAGGGGUGAUAGGCUUCCCAAACACAGCGAUAACUUGUUUACCCCGAAACUUAUUUAGUACAAUACAAGCCCAGAGUGCUAAGACUGUGGGCAGGGAUCAAUUGUCUGGAAGGCUAUUUAUCGAGCGUAAAAGCGUAUAAAUGGGAAAUAUAACAUUAAUUUGUUUCGGUUAUCUUGAGUAGAGGUAAGUAUUUUUAUUAGCUAUUAUAUUUAUAAUGUUGAUAUUAGUAGUAUUAAAAGUGUGCCGAAUGAACUCGGCUAAAGCUCUCCGACUGUUUAUCAAAAACAUAGCUAAAUGCAAUUAUAUUUGGUACUUCCUGCUCAAUGACAUAGUUAAAUAGCCGCAGUACUUUGACUGUGCAAAGGUAGCAUAAUCAAUUGGCUUAUAAUUGAAGUCUGGAAUGAAAGGAUAUACGGGGAUCUACUGUAUCCAGCAUUUACAAUUAACUUGCCUACCGAGUGAAAAUGCUUGGGGCAAAAUGUUAGACGAGAAGACCCUAGAAAUUUGCAAAGCUGUUUAGUUGGGGCAACGUGGUAGGAGUAAACCUACAAUAAGGACAAGCAAUAGUUUAGCCAGAAAAAAUUACUCUAGGGAUAACAGCAUAAUUUGGAAAAGUUUGUGACCUCGAUGUUGGAUUUGGGAAUAACAGUUCAGA